rnacentral:lncRNA from 1 species
ACAAUGCCCAUGUCACCCCUUUGGCCUCCAUGUCUGUCUGCUGGAGGCCACACACACAGCAGAGCUGGGUAUGCUAGACAUUCGGUCUUGCUUAGUGUUUGACCAAAGGUGAUGCUGAUUUAGUGGACUAAGGUCAUGCCCUCCCUUCUCCCACAAUCAAUAAUUUAAUGUGACUUAUCAGAAACAGAAAGAAUUGUUUACUUUUAAACCCUGGAUCCCAUAAAGGGAGACGGGAGAGGCCUAAAAGCGACAGAAACGCAGGACUCUCGCCCCUACACACCUUCCUGCCAGCCAGAGGAGGGGUCUGGGACUGAGAGAAGACCAGUGCUGACUGAGAUUAUUCAAAACCAAACAAAGCCAUCAUGGAGAACAGUGGGUUCCAGACACUUGGGUCACAUAUGUGGAGCUGGAAAGGAUCCCUGAUGAUUGGCAGUGACAAUGGUGGAAUGUGGAGGUGAAGUUAACACCUUCACACCUACAGAUUUCCCUUAGCAGAGCUGUGGAGUGUGACAAUGGUGUUUGUGUCCAAACUAUCAAACGCCAUCAUCACACUAAAUAGCUACUGCUAGGCAAUCCUUCCACUCAGUAUAAGUCUUGGCAACUGUUUGGUCUGGGCAAGAAGGCUCAUCUUAUACCAACCAGUGUUCUCUAUCAUGUGUAACUUGGAAUAAAGUCUGAUACUCUUGUGGUCAUAACUAUUUGCCUGCCUGAACCCUGCCUCUCACACGCUGUUGUUAAAUAGAUGAUAAUUCUGAUGAUAAAGAAAAAACAACUCAAAAUCAGUUUCUCCCAUUGUACACUCACAACACAAAUCACUUCUGGCACCAGAUAUUUGAGGAUCUCUCCCCAACAAGCAAGCAGUUAAUUCCACAGCAGACUCCAUCUGGGAGUCCUCUAAUCUAGUUCUGCUCUGACACUCUACCUGGAGAUAUUGUCACAUGCCACAGGGUGAAGGCUCAGUCCUCAAGAAGGCACCUCAUUCAGAUGUCAGGCACAAGCCCCAGAUUGUUUUCCCUGUGCUUCUGACCUACUUUCGAUAAAUCAGGGUUCCCACAUUGCCUCCUCGAGUUCAAUUCAUUUGUUUGAGCAGCUCACAGAACUCAGGGAAAGAUAUACUUACCUUUAAAAGCUUAUUAUAAAGCAGACGAUAAAGGCUACAAAGGAAGAGAUGCACAGAGUGAGUUUAGGGGUAGUGGGUGUAGAGCUUCCACACCCCUUCUAAGAGUGCCAUCCUCCAGUACCCUCCAUGUGUUCAGUUACCCGGAAGCUCUCUGAACUCUGUCCUUUUGGGAUUUUUAUGGAGACUUCAUUGCACACACAUGACUGAAACUUGUAUAGCCAUGUUGAAAUGUGAUUGGAUGAAAGAGAAUGAUCUAAUGAAUAGACUGGGUGGGAAAGCCUAGCAAGGACUGUCUGUCCAGAUUCUUAGCCUUUCUGUGCAGCAUUCCAUUCUUGUGGGCCUGGGGUAGCACCCCCUCCAUGUGAGGAGGUUCGAAUGACAACUAUCACGUGAGGUAGGCCGGAGUUAUAACCAGGAACUGUGGUUCAAAAUAGGUAUAAAUCAUAAUAUCACAGUGACAAUGAAUUUUCUUAUUUUCUCCAAGUCAAUAAAAAGAUUGGAGUCCUGUAGAGCCCCCAGCACAAGGUUAGGCACCUGGUAAUCAUUUAACUCAUGCCUACUCCGUUGAAAUGAAUAGUUAGGAAAGUAGAAAACUAAAACUCGGUUAAAUCUAGUUUAGGCAAACCACAGCCUCAUAGGUGCUAAGUUAAGGUAUGUGGGUCUUCCGCUUUAUAAAAAAAAUACAGUUUAAAAAAACCCAACAAUAAACUUGUCCAUGACUUAAAUGACCUUUCGGAAAUUCCAGAACAUCUUUGAUUUCUACUUAUUUUAACCAAUUACCAGGCGGAUUGCUCAAUUUGUAUGCUAAUUUCUUCUUCCUUAUGUUUCAAUGAAUUGCCAUUAGAAAGAUUAUAUAUAAAUCAUGUAUAAACUGCCAGAGCAAAUCUGAACAUUUUUAAGCCAUGCGGUUUCUUGGACAGUUGGCCCAGCUGGGUGGUCUGGUUUGGAACACAGUCUCUCUCCGAGGGCAUCUAAAGUAACAAGUAGAUUCUGUGUGUGGGCUAAAGCUUCUCCCCUGUGUCUUGGCUAGAUAAUCUAGGAUAUGUUUGAUCAAAUUGACAGGAUUGGAUCAACUGCUAGAACUAAAUCAAUCAAUCUUCAUUUAUCAAAUAAAUAUGUGCACACGGACUCCCAUGUAGCUGGCACUAGCUUAGGCCCUGGAAAUAUUUUAAAAUUAAGUGUGUCUGGCAUUGUUUCCAGAGAUAGACAUUCACUGGCUCACAUUCUGUUAUUAUGGGAUAAUUCUAAUAGUCCAAAUUACAUUUAUUACAGAAUCCAAUGAGCAAAACUUUGCAAACUGAUUCCAAGUCCCUUGCUGGAAUGCACCAGUGAGUGCAGCCCACACAGCUAGGAUCUACUGCAAAAGUUUCAAGGUCAGGAGAACUUAUUGUCCAGAGAAGAAAGGGAAGUGCAUUCCUGCCUGCCCUCACUUCCACCUCCCAUUUCUUCCCUUCUGGCAUCCUCAACUGUCAAGAGGAGAUCUAGAUCCCCCUGAAAUAAUCCAUACCCUCACAUUCUUUCUCAUGUGUGUGUGUUUUAAGAGAAAGCACUAUUGACAAGAAUUAAUCAAGGGCUUUACUAUUAUAAGAAUCACUUCCAUGAAUACUGUUUCAUUUGGCCCGUACAACACAGGGCAAAGAUGACAGGAUAUAGUCCCCUCCUACAGAAGGAAAAUGAAGACUCCAAAUGUUUUUGAACCAUCUGGUUAUGUAACCAUAAUUCAACAUAGUCCUCUUAAAUCUAAAGUUCUGUGCUUUACUUAUAUCCUUCCUUGGGCAGGUUAUUUCACAAAACCUCAUGCUUCAUGGCUGAGGUUAUGUAGAAACUGGAUUAAUCAUACCCCUAUUCGAUCCAUAUCUUCAGUUUCCCAUCUGCUUUGUUGAUGGAUUCUAGGGGAAACCCCAUAAAUAAAAGAGAUGAGUCAUAUAACGAUCUCCCCUUGUGAACACUCAUAAUGCAGAGAAAGCCUAAUAUUGCAAAACAUUGCAAUAGAAAAAUAAAAGAGAAGUAACACCUAUGUGGCAGUUUUGAGGUAAGGAAGGGGGUGGUCAAGUUGUCCAGACAUGGAACAGCCAUUCUAGUAAUCUGGCCCACUGAGGCAGCACUGGAUCAUUCAGCGCUCUCAGACUUGAAGGUGAUGUGACCACUUGACCCACUCAUUCUUCUUUGCUAUACUCACCCUAAGAGUUUGCUCGGGUGGAACUAUACUGGGAGCAAAUAGAAGAGGAUUCUAUAGUAUAUCUUUUUUUACCAGCUCUGCUCAUUGUAUGGCUUAUUGUAAUUGCUGCCUGGAUUAAUUCUGCAUUCAAGAUUGGAUGUCUGUUCUUUCUGUAGAUCUCUAAGGAACACACAUAGAAGACAAAACAUCCACAUCCCCACUUUAAAGACACUUUUUUCUUUUGGUACCAGGGAUCGAACUCUGGACCUUGCGCUUGAGAGGCAGGCGGCGGAACCACUGAGAUAAAUCCCUGGCCCUUUAAAGACACUUUUAAUACAAUCCUGCUGCUCCAAAUCUCCAAUGACAGCCUCCUUUCCCAAACCAACUUUCACCUCCUCUUCAGCCCCAGGGAUGAUAUGGCCAGUCAUUUCCAAUAAAGCAUUAAUGGGGAUAGUUACUGACUCCAAAUGUGCUUCACAUGCUGACAGGCCAACUGGGCCAUGAAGUUAAAAAUCACACUGGAGCUGGGGAGGCAGCAGGACACAUAGGCAGCCACAGUGUCUUGUUUUCUUCUCCAGGCCAGGGCAACUGAGCCUCCCUUUGCUUUGUGGAUCAUGCCAGUGAGGUCCUAUGCACCCUUCCAUCUUGGUUACAGUGGGUUCCAUGAACAUGACAACUACAGCUUAGGGCCUGCCUCGCUUUUUUUUUCCAGCUCCAGGAGAGGUUUUGUGAAAUCAUAGCAUAGCUAGCAUAUGUCAAUGCCUCAUCCACACAUUUUUUUCUGAAUUCUUCUUGAACCUGUAAACCUUUCCACUUAUAUACUUCCUAGAGAAAACAGUAGAAUCCUAGAGCUGGAAACCAGUUUGCCUUUUUUUCUGGUGAGGAAAUUGAAGGACAGGUAUUGCAGAAUUGUCUGGCUAGCUCCAGUUUUAUACCUUCCCUCCCUGACAUCAUCAGCCAUUCACUGAUCAGACCUCUGUCGUGUGGUUACUAUGUGCCUGAUAUUGAAAUGGGCUCUGGGGAUGCAAAAAAGAAGGAGGCUGUGUCCUUUCCCCAACUGGUCUCAGUCUAGGAGUUGGAUAGAUGCCUAAAUACAUCUACACCUCACUGUAUGAGAUGCCAGCACAGAGACAGAGACAGGGACCUGAGAGACUUGAAUUACAUCCUUCAUUUCUUUCCAGAUUAAAAAAAAACUCCGAGUCCUUGAUAUUAUGAUCUUUUUUUGCUACCUCGAAGAAUAUAAUCCUUCUUGUUUAUUUUGGUGAUUUAAUUGCCAAUGGGUCACGGGGGAAAGGCAUUUUUUUGUCUUGAGUGACAAUACUGUAAUAUGAAGAUAUGCUGUUUCUACUGUGCUGCUUGCCAGCCUAAUGAUUAGCCCAAGAUCUACUGGGGCUAGAGGAUGGAUCAGUAGGCUUUUCCAUUAUGUGUGUGAAGAAUUUUAAUUUCCCAAAGGAAGGGGGUAGAAUCUGAGCUGUUUGCUCACAAUAAGGGCUAGGCUGAUAAUAAAUGUACACUACCAAGGCAUUAGGCCUUCUUCUCCCAAGUCACAAAAGGCCUACUCCUUUGGGACAGGCUCAAGGAAGCUGCUGAGCGCAAACCCAUGGCAGGUUCCCUCUG